UACGAAGGGUGCAAGCGUUAAUCGGAAUCACUGGGCUUAAAGCGUGCGUAGGCGGUUCAGAAAGUUGGGUGUGAAAUGCCUCGGCUCAACCGAGGAAUUGCGCCCAAAACUACUGGGCUUGAGGGAGUUAGAGGUGAACGGAACUCACGGUGGAGCGGUGAAAUGCGUUGAUAUCGUGAGGAACACCGGAGGCGAAAGCGGCUCACUGGGGCUUCACUGACGCUGAGGCACGAAAGCUAGGGGAGCAAACGGG
rnacentral:rRNA from 1 species